rnacentral:rRNA from 1 species
GUCCACGCCGUAAACGAUGUACACUAGACCGAUGCGGUUUUGACGCCGUAUCGGUCGUAGUAAAACGAUAAGUGUACCGCCUGGGGAGUACGGUCGCAAGGCUAAAACUCAAAUGAAUUGACGGGGGCUCACACAAGCGGUGGAGCAUGUUGCUUAAUUCGAGGCAACGCGAAGAACCUUACCUAGGCUUGACAUGUGCGGAUUAACUCCGUGAAAGCGGAGCCACACCCUCUGGGUGGAACGUACACAGGUGCUGCAUGGCUGUCGU